CUGUUAGAUGUCGCUGUAGAUUUAGCAGUACAUUACUGUAAAAAUCCACAGUACUAUACUGUAUGUGUACAUUACAGUACAGUACUGCAGUUCAUAAUGCAUUCUGGGUAAAUUUGUUUGAGCGGGAAAAUUUUACAGUAUAUUUUGGUCUUGAUGUAACCUUGCUGUAGCCAUUGCUGUAAUGUGCCAGGUGUACUUGCAAUAAUCAGAGAAAGUGCGCCAACGUCAAAUCACACAGAGGGAGAGAGAGCACAACUCCUGGCUGCAGCUGAAGGAGGACGAUUGAUUUCUGGCAGUUCGGUAAGUUUGAAAUAUUUCUGUUUCAUGAAAACUUAAUUUUUAGUUUAAGAAUGUUGUCAAUAGUUUGUCACAAUAUUGUUUUAAACGUGCAAUGAGAGAGAAAAACGGUCGCCAACAAAGUUUCAAUCUCCCUCAGAAAGUAAGCUUACACACAGAUGUCUACCGCUGCUUUAACUCGCUUUACACCUUUUUUUUAAUGAAUAUAGGGUUGUUUUAACUAAAUUAUGAGGGUUUUGGUGAGUUUAUAUUGUGUUGAAAGUGUGGUGACAAUGAAACUAUUUUUAACGAAAUGGACAAAGACAACCCGCCAGCGCGGUCUUGCGGUCCCAGCAUAAUGGUCGUUUAUCUCGGCGUUUCAUCCGUUCAGUUAGCGUCAGAGAAAAGUAUUAAGUUCGACUGUUUGGCAAGGCUGACUCGUGGUUGUAAACAGUCAGGACUUGUCACACCGUACACAGCAUACUGUAGUACUGAACUCCUCCACAGAAGUGAAAACAAGAAACCUCAUAACUGGAUACAUGCAUCGAACUCAUCGCAGCUUUAACUUCUACCAAAUAUCAUUCAGACCUGGGCUCAUCUUAAUAUCAGAUGAACGAAAGGGAUUGCCGCGCGUAUUGUUGUUGUUAUUAUAUUACGGUAUAUCAUCAAAAGCAGAGAAUAUCUUCUCUAAAGCGUUUUACACGUCCAUCUUACCAUUGCUUGUAAGCUGGAUUGGGUAAGAUGGAUCAUCUUUAAAGGCACCAGGCAAGUACAUGAUGUACAGUUACAAGUCAUGUAUUUUUUCGACUGCAAUAUUAAAUGCUUUCACGUCACAUGCAAAAUUACACAGGAAUGUGGCUGACUUUUUAUUUGUAGUUUACAUGAGUGUCCUUGCACUUUUAUAGGAGUUAAGGCAGAUGUGGAGGCACAACGGGUGAUACCAGACACACACCAAGCACAUUAUGUUUGGUAAGUUUGCACUUUACCACUACAGCCACUUUACCACUACAGUUUCUUUAAAUACCCAUGUAUACACUCAUUCACUCAUUCACACACAACACUGUAACACGACCAUACACAACAUGUACACAAUUGUCUUAGUUUGCCAUGUAGAAAUAUACAAACAGAAAUAUUCAGACUUUGGUUAUAAGAAAUUUAAUUUAAUAAUUGUAUUUAUUUAGCAGAGGUGUCCCUGGACUUUAUUGACAAAAGAUUUUGUUUUCAGAAUAAAAAGUUGUGUCCAAAUCAGUAACAAUUGUACUUUCUGUUCAGGACAUUCAAUCAUGACAUGAUCCAGGUGGAUGCUGUCCAUUGAGGAAAGAGUUUGUUCAGCGGUUUCUGGAUAGAAUUAAUUCCAAAGAUGGGAAAAAGUGCACAUCCAGACAAGGAGCAAGCAAAAAGACAAGGAACUUGGUGCAGAGAAAAGCUGUGGCCAUUAACCCCUGUGAACAGCUUCAUGCAGUCCCUGAUUGAGUUCGAAUGGACGACUUCAGUAAAGGCCACUGUGGUCUGUCUGCCACAGUUUAAUUUUUAAUUUAUUUUUAGUGUUCAAUGAAAUUCAAGUAGAAUAUUUAAAACUAUGGGCCAGUGUUCUUUUUACCACAGUGAAAUGUUACCUUUUAGUCGAUGAUGGACUUUAAACUGAAAACUUCAAACUAUGGAAGAGUGUUCUAUUUGCCAGAGUUAAAUAUGUUACAGCAGGGGUCUCCAAACUUGUUUAUACUUGUUGAUUUUAUUUUAUGUUACUUGAUUAUAUGUUUAUUAUUGUUUAAAAUCUUGUUUUAAAUAUGUUUGUUUCAAUUAAAUGUUUUUUUUUAAUAAAAUUUUGAUACAAACAUUGCUUGGAUUGCCUUUUAAUUCAUUAUGUUUUAAUUUAGCAUUUUUACCAUAUUAAUAACUAUAGAUUUAAACCUAAAUCUCUAGCUAUUUUAUAUAAUAUUAUUGUAUUAACUGUAAUAAGUAAUAAAUAGUAUUUAUGGGUCAAUAUAGACAUUACAGUAAAUUACUGUAAAAAUAGACUACUGUAAUAAAAUAUUGUAAAAUUACAGUACAGUACUGCUUUGUAACUAUACAGUACUAGUUUGUGUACUGUAAAAUGGUAUUACAGUACAGUACUGUAAAACCAAAAUACAGUAACUUACUGGCAACCGU